AUUGAACGCUGGCGGCAGGCUUAACACAUGCAAGUCGAGCGGGGAAGGGUAGCUUGCUACCUAACCUAGCGGCGGACGGGUGAGUAAUGCUUAGGAAUCUGCCAUUUAGUGGGGGACAACAUUCCGAAAGGAAUGCUAAUACCGCAUACGCCCUACGGGAGAAAGCAGGGGAUCUUCGGACCUUGCGCUAAAUGAUGAGCCUAAGUCGGAUUAGCUAGUUGGUGGGGUAAAGGCCUACCAAGGCGACGAUCUGUAGCGGGUCUGAGAGGAUGAUCCGCCACACUGGGACUGAGACACGGCCCAGACUCCUACGGGAGGCAGCAGUGGGGAAUAUUGGACAAUGGGCGGAAGCCUGAUCCAGCCAUGCCGCGUGUGUGAAGAAGGCCUUAUGGUUGUAAAGCACUUUAAGCGAGGAGGAGGCUACCUAGAUUAAUACUCUAGGAUAGUGGACGUUACUCGCAGAAUAAGCACCGGCUAACUCUGUGCCAGCCGCCGCAGUAAAAC
rnacentral:rRNA from 1 species